GAUGAACGCUGGCGGCGUGCCUAAUACAUGCAAGUCGAGCGAACGGACGAGAAGCUUGCUUCUCUGAUGUUAGCGGCGGACGGGUGAGUAACACGUGGAUAACCUACCUAUAAGACUGGGAUAACUUCGGGAAACCGGAGCUAAUACCGGAUAAUAUUUUGAACCGCAUGGUUCAAAAGUGAAAGACGGUCUUGCUGUCACUUAUAGAUGGAUCCGCGCUGCAUUAGCUAGUUGGUAAGGUAACGGCUUACCAAGGCAACGAUGCAUAGCCGACCUGAGAGGGUGAUCGGCCACACUGGAACUGAGACACGGUCCAGACUCCUACGGGAGGCAGCAGUAGGGAAUCUUCCGCAAUGGGAGAAAGCCUGACGGAGAAACGCCGCGUGAGUGAUGAAGGUCUUCGGAUCGUAAAACUCUGUUAUUAGGGAAGAACAUAUGUGUAAGUAACUGUGCACAUCUUGACGGUACCUAAUCAGAAAGCCACGGCUAACUACGUG
rnacentral:rRNA from 1 species